AGUGGUUUGGGGACCUGGUGACACCAGUGUGGUGGGAGGAUGUUUGGCUAAAAGAGGGAUUUGCCCAUUUCUUUGAAUUCUUGGGUGCAGACUUCCUCUUCCCAGACUGGCACAUGGAGAAGCAGAGGUUCCUGACGGAUGUUCUACACGAGGUGAUGCUACUUGAUGGCCUCGCCAGCUCCCACCCCAUAUCCCAGGAGGUGCUGAAGGCAACAGACAUAGACAGAGUGUUUGACUGGAUUGCCUAUAAAAAGGGUGCUGCAUUAAUCCGAAUGCUUGCAAAUGUUAUGGGACAGCCAGUGUUCCAGAUGGGAUUAAACG